GGUGUGGCUCAGUUUGGCUAGAGUGCUAGAUUUGGGAUCUAGAGGUCGCAGGUUCAAGUCCUGUCACC
rnacentral:tRNA from 1 species